rnacentral:rRNA from 2 species
CCCCCCUCAAGAUGAGAUUUCCCAUAGCGUAAGCUAGUAAGAUCCCUGAAAGAUGAUCAGGUUGAUAGGUUCGAGGUGGAAGCAUGGUGACAUGUGGAGCUGACGAAUACUAAUAGAUCGAGGACUUAACCA